rnacentral:rRNA from 1 species
GAUGAACGCUGGCGGCGUGCCUAAUACAUGCAAGUCGAGCGAACAGAUGAGGAGCUUGCUCCUCUGACGUUAGCGGCGGACGGGUGAGUAACACGUGGAUAACCUACCUAUAAGACUGGGAUAACUUCGGGAAACCGGAGCUAAUACCGGAUAAUAUAUUGAACCGCAUGGUUGAAUAGUGAAAGACGGUUUUGCUGUCACUUAUAGAUGGAUCCGCGCCGCAUUAGCUAGUUGGUAAGGUAACGGCUUACCAAGGCAACGAUGCGUAGCCGACCUGAGAGGGGGAUCGGCCACCCUGGAACUGAGACACGGUCCAGACUCCUACGGGAGGCAGCAGUAGUGAAUCUUCCGCAAUGGGCGAAAGCCUGACGGAGCAACGCCGCGUGAGUGAUGAAGGUCUUCGGAUCGUAAAGCUCUGUUAUUAGGGAAGAACAAAUGUGUAAGUAACUAUGCACGUCUUGACGGUACCUAAUCAGAAAGCCCCGGCUAACUACGUG